rnacentral:lncRNA from 1 species
AAACAGUCCCUCUGGUUCUCCUGGAGGCAUGAAGAUCAGUCCAGAAGUGGAUGCGGUGAUCUAGUACUGCGUCAAUGCCAGCUCUUCAGAAAGGCCCCCUGAAGACUCUUCCUGAAGCAGACUCAGAGAUGGAGUUAGCAUCUAUGUCCUUGAUGCUGUUCUUGAGGAAGGGUAUAAAUUCAGCCUGAGAUUCCAGAAUAUUCUGUGUAUUGACCACCACAGCAAGAAGAAAAAGUCCACGUAGGACUGAAAUGUAAGUCUUACGAUUGCUCAACCUGGUCUCUCUACCAUAACACCUUUGAAUUGA